UGUGUAGGCGGUUGCUUAAGUUUGGUGUGAAAUCUCCCGGCUCAACUGGGAGGGUGCGCCGAGUACUGAGUGACUCGAGUGCGGGAGAGGAAAGUGGAAUUCCUGGUGUAGCGGUGAAAUGCGUAGAUAUCAGGAGGAACACCGGUGGUGUAGACGGCUUUCUGGACCGUAACUGACGCUGAGACACGAAAGCGUGGGUAGCAAACAGGAUUAGAUACCCUGGUAGUCCACGCCCUAAACGAUGCACAUUUGGUGUGGGUCAUUCAGUUGAUCCGUGCCGGAGCUAACGCGUUAAAUGUGCCGCCUGGGGAGUACAGUCGCAAGGCUGAA
rnacentral:rRNA from 1 species